GAUGAACGCUAGCGGCAGGCUUAACACAUGCAAGUCGAGGGGUAGAGGUUGCUUGCAACCUUGAGACCGGCGCACGGGUGCGUAACGCGUAUGCAACCUACCUUUUACAGAGGGAUAGCCCAGAGAAAUUUGGAUUAAUACCUCAUAGUAUAUGUUUUUCGCAUGUUAGACAUAUUAAAGUUCCAACGGUAAAAGAUGGGCAUGCGUCCUAUUAGCUAGAUGGUAAGGUAACGGCUUACCAUGGCAACGAUAGGUAGGGGUCCUGAGAGGGAGAUCCCCCACACUGGUACUGAGACACGGACCAGACUCCUACGGGAGGCAGCAGUGAGGAAUAUUGGACAAUGGGCGCAAGCCUGAUCCAGCCAUGCCGCGUGCAGGAAGAAGCAUCUAUGGUGUGUAAACUGCUUUUGUACAGGAAGAAACACCCCGACGUGUCGGGACUUGACGGUACUGUAAGAAUAAGGAUCGGCUAACUCCGUGCCAGCAGCCGCGGUAAAAC
rnacentral:rRNA from 1 species